AAAAAUAAAAUCCCCCUCAGGUGCCCAUGAGGGAGAUUUUAUUAACAGGAAAUCCUUUCACAGCAUUAAUGUUCAGGUAAACGUGACUUUUUGAUAUUUUUUCAAUUAAUGAACACUGCUUGUGAUGUACAUUGAUUGGUUUAACGUUCAACAUCUUAUACUUUCAGAUGGUCUGCAAUGCUGACUGCCUGAUAAGUAAUGUUGUGGCAAAGUGGCUUGGAUCAGUCCAUGACUCCAGAAUUUUUAGGUCCUCUGCCAUCUAUCAGCGCCUGUCACAAGGUAAGCCACAUCCUCAAUAAAUAACCACUUUUAACAUCAUGGCUGUGUCAAGCAUGUCACUCUAUAAGAUUGUGAUUAUGACAUUUUGAAUUCAAAGGGGAAUUUUCCGGUGUACUGCUGGGGGACAGAGGUUAUGCCUGCGAGCCGUUCUGCC